rnacentral:piRNA from 1 species
UGUGUGUACGUAUGUGCAGAGCAUGUUAAU